rnacentral:rRNA from 1 species
UACGUAGGGCGCAAGCGUUGUUCGGAAUUACUGGGCGUAAAGGGCGCGUAGGUGGCCUUCUAAGUUGAACGUGAAAUCCCUGGGCUCAACCCAGGAACUGCGUCCAAGACUGGGAGGCUUGAAUCCGGGAGAGGGAUGCGGAAUUCCUGGUGUAGCGGUGGAAUGCGCAGAUAUCAGGAGGAACACCAAUAGCGAAGGCAGCUCGCUGGGACGUUACUGACACUGAGGCGCGAAGGCGUGGGGAGCGAACAGG